UCGAAGGGUGUGCUACUACCGCAUAAUCUCUGAGGAGAAAAGCAGGGGAUUCGCAAGCACCUUGCGCUUUCGGAGCGGCCGAUGUCUGAUUAGCUAGUUGGUGAGGUAAAGGCUCACCUAGGCAUCGAUCAGUAGCUGGUCUGAGAGGACGACCAGCCACACUGGGACUGAGACACGGCUCGGACUCCUACGGGAGGCAGCAGUGGGGAAUUGUGGACAAUGGGGGCAACCCUGAUCCAGCCAUGCCGCGUGAGUGAAGAAGGCCUUCGGGUUGUAAAGCUCUUUCAGCCGGAACGAAACGAUCACGGCCAAUACUCGUGACUAAUGACGGUACCGGAAGAAGAAGCACCGGCUAACUACGUGCCAGCAGCCGCGGUAAUACGUAGGGUGCGAGCGUUAAUCGGAAUUACUGGGCGUAGAGCGUGCGCAGGCGGGUUUGUAAGUCAGAUGUGAAAUCCCCGGGCUAAACCUGGGAACUGC
rnacentral:rRNA from 1 species